CAUCUGAUCUUCCUGUCUCCUUCAGACACCCCGCUAAGAAAUGACAGGCUUUAUAAUUCAACAACAAAUACUGAACGCCCCAUAAAAAACCGGAGCGUUUUCUCCAUCCUCUGAUUUAUUUGGAUCUCUGACAUCCAGCAAAGCAUGAAUGAAGCCACAUAAUGAAGUUUUAGAGGCCUCACGGAGCCAUCGGAUUUCUCAAAAAUAUUUCAAUUUGCAUUCCGAAGAUUAAUGAAGGUCUUACGGGUGUGGAACGGCAUGAGGUUUAAAUCUAUAAAAUACUCAACAAGAGAUAAGUAAUGGCUGCCACACCGGAGUCUCCAGCCAUCAUGGCCGCCACACCAGAGUCUCCAGCCUUCACGGCCACCACACCAGAGACUCCAGCCAUCAUGGCCAUCACACCAGAGUCUCCAGCCUUCACGGCCACCACACCAGAGUCUCCAGCCGUCAUGGCCGCCACACCGGAGUCUCCAGUCUAUCAUGAUUCCCCUGUGUUUAGUGUUCUUGGACUUUUAUUUUGAUAUUCUUGUGUCUUGCUCUGUCUGGUUUCUAUUCCUGUGUUUAGUUCCUGUUUCUGUAGUUACCCUUGUUAGUCUCCAUGGUUACUAAUGUCCCACACCUGUUCCUCAUUAUCCUUCUAGUUACUCAGUGUAUUUAUACCCUUGUGUUCCAGUCUGUAGUUGUUGGUCAUUGUCUUUUCAUCUGCUGUAACGCUGUUGCAUCUCCUGUGUUCCCUUUGUCAUCAUGUUUGGAUUAUUGUCAUUGGCUCUUGGUUUGGAUUAUCUUUGUGUUUAUAUGUUCAUGGAAUAAAGAUUGUUUGCUAAAGAUCCUCACCUCUCCUCAUCCCUGCUAUACUUGUGAUGCAUACUUUCACAGUAAAUUAUUGUAAAAUUAUGUUUUUUUUUUGUUUGUUUUUUUAAGUAAGAAUAUGAGCCACCUUAAAUGUGAAAACCCAUAAAAUUGACUAAAGGAAAAAACCAUCAUGAUAUAUAUGCAACACUUUCACCAUAUAUUUUACAGUGAAUUUCUGGCAACCACGGCUGCCAGUUUUUACUAUAAAUUUAACAGGACAUUUUUCACAGUGUAGGAAACAGAAUAUCAUCAAGAUUUUGGGAUGGGUUCUUUUCACAUGGACCAGUAAGCAGCACCUUAGCAAGUAAGCAUUUGCGCGAAAGCCUCUGUUUAUCUUUCUGCUCUGCUCGCAGUGGU